rnacentral:rRNA from 1 species
AUUGAACGCUGGCGGCAUGCCUUACACGUGCAAGUCGAACGGCAGCACGGGAGCAAUCCUGGUGGCGAGUGGCGAACGGGUGAGUAAUACAUCGGAACGUGCCCAAUCGUGGGGGAUAACGCAGCGAAAGCUGUGCUAAUACCGCAUACGAUCUACGGAUGAAAGCAGGGGACCGCAAGGCCUUGCGCGAAUGGGGCGGCCGAUGGCAGAUUAGGUAGUUGGUGGGGUAAAGGCUCACCAAGCCAACGAUCUGUAGCUGGUCUGAGGGGACGACCAGCCACACUGGGACUGAGACACGGCCCAGACUCCUACGGGAGGCAGCAGUGGGGAAUUUUGGACAAUGGGCGCAAGCCUGAUCCAGCCAUGCCGCGUGCAGGAUGAAGGCCUUCGGGUUGUAAACUGCUUUUGUACGGAACGAAACGGCUCUUUCUAAUAAAGAGGGCUAAUGACGGUACCGUAAGAAUAAGCACCGGCUAACUACGUGCCAGCCGCCGCCGUAAUAC